CCGGCCCCCCGCGGGGCUCGCCCAAGUUUGGGACCCGCAGGGCCGGGCCAAGGGGAACGUCCGCGUGCCAGGGUGCACUUUCUCCGCGGUCGAGUGCUACGACCGGUUUCGAGGCGGUCAGAAGCCCGGCGGAAAGGUAGCGCCGCCCUUCGGGGUGUCGUGUUAUAGGCCGCCGCGGUGGACUCGCCGCGAGACCGAGGACGCUUGCCGCGCCGAGCGGUCCCGGGCCGUCUUGGGAGGUUCGACCUCGGCUGCACUGCUCCGCAGAGCACCGUAACCGCCGCCCUAGCACGGGUCCGGAGACUGCCGGCGCCUCGGGUCAGUAGCG
rnacentral:rRNA from 1 species